UAAAAUCAUUGGAGAAAGGUGAAUCGCAUUGAAAUGCUGAGGCUCCAUGAGUGACAUGUGCAGCAAACUCUAUUUAGCAAGGACUGUAGGAGGGCAGCGAGAGAGAGAUGGAAGUUCAGGGCCUUGCAAGAUUGGAGAAGUUGGAGCUCACGGUGCCCUACAAAUGAAGACCUCUUACGCCUGGGAAGCUGAUGCCAGCCAGGGUGGGAAGGGCGAGAAGGCGGCGAGUGCUGUAUUGUGCUUCAGGGACCUAUGGCACAGCCAAGCAGCUUCCCAGCGUGGAGUCCUGCCCUCGGGACCUGUUGCUGCCCAGGCAGUGGGAAGGAAGUACGGCUCCUGUAAUUUGCAUCCAGAUAUCAGGAAGCGAUGCGUUAUGAGAACAUCUCAUCUACCGCCAGGGAUGAACCCGCAGAAAUCACUUAUACCAACAGAUUCACAGGUUGGCACCCCAAGCCCCAUCAGCAGCCGUCCGAGUGGCCCCGCUCCUGCUCGCCGCGGGCACCUUCGAGGAGCAAAGGCAAAAUUUGAUCCCGAUGGAUGCAAAAGGUUGACAGCCCUAAGAGCAGAGCGGAGAGACAAAGUCCCAGCUGCCGCCUUGGUGUUUUGGUUCUGGGGCCAGCCCGGAGCUCUGCCCCUCACCUCAUCUUGACCUGCUGAGUUCAUCCUUCCUGGACGUCACAGGGGCUAGUCCUCUCUCUGCUUUUUUCUGGCCA
rnacentral:lncRNA from 1 species